GUUAUAUGGUCAAGCGAAUAAGCGCACACGGUGGAUGCCUUGGCGGUCAGAGGCGAUGAAGGACGUGGCAGCCUGCGAAAAGUAUCGGGGAGCUGGCAACAAGCUUUGAUCCGGUAAUGUCCGAAUGGGGAAACCCACCCGCUUGCGGGUAUCCUGCAGUGAAUACAUAGCUGCUGGAAGCGAACCUGGUGAACUGAAAUAUCUAAGUAACCAGAGGAAAAGAAAUCAACCGAGAUUCCGUAAGUAGCGACGAGCGAACGCGGACUAGCCCUUAAGCUGAUUUGGUUCUAGGAAAACGCUCUGGAAAGAGCGGCCAUAGAAGGUGAUAGCCCUGUAUCUGAAAGGGCCAUUUCAGUGAAGACGAGUAGGGCGGGGCACGUGAAACCCUGUCUGAACAUGGGGGGACCAUCCUCCAAGGCUAAAUACUACUGACCGACCGAUAGUGAACCAGUACCGUGAGGGAAAGGCGAAAAGAACCCCGGAGAGGGGAGUGAAAUAGAACCUGAAACCGUGUGCGUACAAGCAGUAGGAGCUCCGYAAGGAGUGACUGCGUACCUUUUGUAUAAUGGGUCAGCGACUUACUGUUCGUGGCAAGCUUAACCGUAUAGGGGAGGCGAAGGGAAACCGAGUCUGAUAAGGGCGCAUAGUCGCGGGCAGUAGACCCGAAACCGGGUGAUCUAGUCAUGCCCAGGGUGAAGGUGCGGUAACACGCACUGGAGGCCCGAACCCACUCCCGUUGCAAAGGUAGGGGAUGAGGUGUGAUUAGGAGUGAAAAGCUAAUCGAACCCGGAGAUAGCUGGUUCUCCUCGAAAGCUAUUUAGGUAGCGCCUCAUAUGUAUCCUCUCGGGGGUAGAGCACUGUUAUGGCUAGGGGGUCAUCGCGACUUACCAAACCAUUGCAAACUCCGAAUACCGAGACGGACUGUAUGGGAGACACACGGCGGGUGCUAACGUCCGUCGUGAAAAGGGAAACAACCCAGACCCACAGCUAAGGUCCCAAAUUCACUGCUAAGUGGAAAACCAUGUGGAAAGGCACAGACAGCCAGGAGGUUGGCUUAGAAGCAGCCACCCUUUAAAGAAAGCGUAAUAGCUCACUGGUCGAGUCGGUCUGCGGGGAAGAUUUAACGGGGCUAAGCAGUGAACCGAAGCUUGGGGUGCAUACUUUGUAUGCGCGGUAGAGGAGCGUUCCGUAAGCCGUUGAAGGUGGAUUGAGAAGUCUGCUGGAGGUAUCGGAAGUGCGAAUGCUGACAUGAGUAACGAUAAUGCGGGUGAAAAACCCGCACGCCGAAAGCCCAAGGUUUCCUUGCGCAACGUUAAUCGGCGCAGGGUGAGUCGGCCCCUAAGGCGAGGACGAAAGUCGUAGUCGAUGGGAAGCAGGUUAAUAUUCCUGCACCUCGCGUAAGUGCGAUGGAGGGACGGAGAAGGUUAGGUGUACCAGGCGUUGGUUGUCCUGGGGAAAGGCGGUAGGUUUGGAUCUUUGGCAAAUCCGGGAUCCUUCAAGACCGAGCACCGAGACGAGCCUUUAUGGCGAAGUCACUGAUACCACGCUUCCAGGAAAAGCUCCUAAGCUUCAGCUUACGCAGACCGUACCGUAAACCGACACAGGUGGGUAGGAUGAGAAUUCUCAGGCGCUUGAGAGAACUCGGGUGAAGGAACUAGGCAACAUGGCACCGUAACUUCGGGAGAAGGUGCACCCUUUUUGGUGGCUCGUGCGAGCUAUAGCUGAAGAGGGUCGCAGUAACCAGGCCGCUGCGACUGUUUAUCAAAAACACAGCACUCUGCAAACACGAAAGUGGACGUAUAGGGUGUGACGCCUGCCCGGUGCUGGAAGGUUAAUUGAUGGGGUCAGCCGCAAGGCGAAGCUCUUGAUCGAAGCCCCAGUAAACGGCGGCCGUAACUAUAACGGUCCUAAGGUAGCGAAAUUCCUUGUCGGGUAAGUUCCGACCUGCACGAAUGGCGUAACGACAGCGGCGCUGUCUCCACCCGAGACUCAGUGAAAUUGAAAUCGCUGUGAAGAUGCAGCGUUCCCGUGGCAAGACGGAAAGACCCCGUGAACCUUUACUAUAGCUUUACACUGAACGUUGAGUUCGUCUGUGUAGGAUAGGUGGGAGGCUAUGAAACUGUGGCGCUAGCUGCAGYGGAGCCAUCCUUGAAAUACCACCCUGUCGUGCUUGACGUUCUAACCUGGGCCCAUUAUCUGGGUCGGGGACCGUGUAUGGUGGGUAGUUUGACUGGGGCGGUCUCCUCCUAAAGAGUAACGGAGGAGCUCGAAGGUACGCUCAGCGCGGUCGGACAUCGCGCACUGUGUGCAAAGGCAUAAGCGUGCUUGACUGCAAGAUCGACGGAUCAAGCAGGUAGGAAACUAGGACUUAGUGAUCCGGUGGUUCUGUAUGGAAGGGCCAUCGCUCAACGGAUAAAAGGUACUCCGGGGAUAACAGGCUGAUACCGCCCAAGAGUUCAUAUCGACGGCGGUGUUUGGCACCUCGAUGUCGGCUCAUCACAUCCUGGGGCUGUAGUCGGUCCCAAGGGUAUGGCUGUUCGCCAUUUAAAGUGGUACGCGAGCUGGGUUCAGAACGUCGUGAGACAGUUCGGUCCCUAUCUGCCAUGGGCGUUGGAGAUUUGAGAGGGGCUGCUCCUAGUACGAGAGGACCGGAGUGGACGAACCUCUGGUGUUCCGGUUGUCACGCCAGUGGCAUUGCCGGGUAGCUAUGUUCGGAAGCGAUAACCGCUGAAAGCAUCUAAGCGGGAAGCGCGCCUCAAGAUGAGAUCUCCCGGGGCACAAGCCCCCUGAAGGAACCAUGUAGACUACGUGGUUGAUAGGUCAGGUGUGUAAGUACAGCAAUGUAUUGAGCUAACUGAUACUAAUGAUCCGAGAGGCUUGACCAUAUAACCU
rnacentral:rRNA from 1 species